CCGACGGUGAGAGGUGAAAGCUGGGGGAGCAAACCGGAUUAGAUACCCGGGUAGUCCCAGCUGUAAACGAUGCAAACUCGAUGAUGCGUUGGCUUAUUGCUAGCGCAGUGUCGCAGGGAAGCCGUUAAGUUUGCCGCCUGGGAAGUACGUACGCAAGUAUGAAACUUAAAGGAAUUGGCGGGGGAGCACCACAAGGGGUGAAGCCUGCGGUUCAAUUGGAGUCAACGCCUGAAACCUUACCCGGAGAGACAGCAGAAUGAAGGUCAAGCUGAAGACUUUACCAGACAAGCUGAGAGGUGGUGCAUGGCCGUCGCCAGCUCGUGCCGUGAGAUGUCCUGUUAAGUCAGGUAACGAGCGAGAUCCCUGCCUCUAGUUGCCACUAUUACACCCUGGUGUAGUAGGGCGAAUUAGGGGGACCGCCGCAGUUAAUGCGGAGGAAGGAAGGGGCCACGGCAGGUCAGUAUGCCCCGAAACUCUGGGGCCACACGCGGGCUGCAAUGGUAGCGACAAUGAGUUCCAAAAUCGAAAGAUAGAGGUAAUCCCUAAACGCUACCACAGUUGUGAUUGAGGGCUGCAACUCGCCCUCAUGAACAUGGAAUCCCUAGUAACCGCGUGUCAUUAUCGCGCAGUGAAUACGUCCCUGCUCCUUGCACUCACCGCCCGU
rnacentral:rRNA from 1 species